rnacentral:rRNA from 1 species
UAGGGAAUCUUCCGCAAUGGGCGAAAGCCUGACGGAGCAACGCCGCGUGAGUGAUGAAGGUCUUCGGAUCGUAAAACUCUGUUAUUAGGGAAGAACAAAUGUGUAAGUAACUAUGCACGUCUUGACGGUACCUAAUCAGAAAGCCACGGCUAACUACGUGCCAGCAGCCGCGGUAAUACGUAGGUGGCAAGCGUUAUCCGGAAUUAUUGGGCGUAAAGCGCGCGUAGGCGGUUUUUUAAGUCUGAUGUGAAAGCCCACGGCUCAACCGUGGAGGGUCAUUGGAAACUGGAAAGCUUGAGUGCAGAAGAGGAAAGUGGAAUUCCAUGUGUAGCAGUGAAAUGCGCAGAGAUAUGGAGGAACACCAGUGGCGAAGGCGACUUUCUGGUCUGUAACUGACGCUGAUGUGCGAAAGCGUGGGGAUCAAACAGG